rnacentral:tRNA from 1 species
UGUAAGAUAAGCUAAGACUAAAGCUGUUGGGCUCAUAACCCAAAAAUGAACUACAGGUUCUCUUACAA